GCGAUUUAUUGGGCUAAAGCGUCGUAGCUGGCCUGCAAGUCCGUCGGGAAAUCCACUCGCCUAACGAGUGGGCGUCCGGCGGAAACUACAGGUCUUGGGACCGGAAGACUUGAGGGGUACGUCUGGGGUAGGAGUGAAAUCCUGUAAUCCUGGACGGACCGCCGAUAGCGAAAGCACCUCAAGACGACGGAUCCGACAGUGAGGGACGAAAGCUAGGGUCUCGAAC
rnacentral:rRNA from 1 species